UACGGGGGGAGCAAGCGUUGUUCGGAUUUACUGGGCGUAAAGGGCGCGUAGGCGGUCAGCACAAGUCAGUUGUGAAAUCUCCGGGCUUAACUCCGGAAAGGUCAACUGAUACUGUGCGACUAGAGUGCGGAAGGGGCAACUGGAAUUCUCGGUGUAGCGGUGAAAUGCGUAGAUAUCGAGAGGAACACCUGCGGCGAAGGCGGGUUGCUGGGCCGACACUGACGCUGAUGCGCGAAAGCCAGGGGAGCGAACGGG
rnacentral:rRNA from 1 species